AGAUUGAUGGGUUCAGAUUUGAUCUCAUGGGUCAUAUUAUGAAGAACACUGUGGUGAAAGCAAAAAAUGCACUCCAUUGCUUAACUAAGGAAAAGGAUGGAAUUGAUGGUUCGAGUAUCUACAUAUAUGGUGAAGGAUGGGACUUCGAUGAGGUUGCCAAA